rnacentral:rRNA from 1 species
UACGGGGGGAGCAAGCGUUGUUCGGAUUUACUGGGCGUAAAGCGCGCGUAGGCGGCUUUGUAAGUUAGAGGUGAAAGCCCGGAGCUCAACUCCGGAACUGCCUUUAAGACUGCAUCGCUAGAAUUGUGGAGAGGUGAGUGGAAUUCCGAGUGUAGAGGUGAAAUUCGUAGAUAUUCGGAAGAACACCAGUGGCGAAGGCGACUCACUGGACACAUAUUGACGCUGAGGUGCGAAAGCGUGGGGAGCAAACAGG